UAAUAUCUGACUAUAAAAGCCUGAAAAGUAAAAUUUCCAUCGGGCUGAAUAUUCUUAUCUAACAAGAUAUAAUGGAAGAUGGUCAAUGAUGGUUUUGCUUAGCAGCAGUAACAUACUUUCACACAACCAUAGUACUAAAAGUUGCUCAAGCAGUACAAAUCCAGUAAUCCAGUAGUCUUUCAUUCUGAGACUACUUAUUUUUGAAGUUGUUUUAGGAAGGAAGUUGUGAAAAGUCUAUUACUCUGUUUGAUAAAUCAGACUAGUGUUGGAUAUAGUGUUAUCGAAUGGUUGACCUCCCACAUACAUCUCAUAUGUUCUCGAAUGCAGAUUGUGCAAUUCGUUUUAGAAGAGGAAAAACAUAUUAACUAAACACCCAGGUUAUCUAGAAGCAACCCAUCCAACAGAGAUUAUUUAUCACAAAAAUGAAUGGCUUAAAGGAGUGAAGUCCCUCGAUGCUUAUUAAUAAAGACGGAUGUGGUUCCUGGAAAUUUGACCACGAAGGGUCGAUCCUGUUAGGAAAGCAACUUGUAUUCCCAUGAGGCCAUAGGCCGGUAUAUAUACAUGUACAGGUGAUGGACUAUAUGCAGGAAACCCCUUAUAUAUUGGGAUAAAUACAAAAGGGUACAUGACUUAUAUUAUAACUCUAACACCCCCCCUCAAACUCAUGGUGGAUGAACAACACCGAGUUUGGAGAGAUAAAAGCCAUGUUGUGCUCUAGUCUGGGCCUUCGUCAGGAAAUCCGCCAACUGUAACUCGGAAGGCACAUACUGAAGAGCAACAACCUGAUCCAGCACAGCAGCGCGCACAUAGAAAGUAUCAACACCAGUAUGCUUGGUGAGCUCAUGGUUCACAGGAUCGCGCGCAAUGCUAAUAGCACCUGUACUGCUAGAUAAGAGCAGAGUUGGUGUAGUGACAGAAACACCAAAAUCCUGAAGUAACCACCGUAACCAAGUCACCUCUGCCGUCAAAAGAGCCAUCGCUCGCAACUCAGCCUCUGCACUCGAACGGGAAACUGCAAUCUGUUUCUUCGUCUUCCAAGCAAUGAGAGAACCACCAAGAAAAACACAGUAAGCAAAAAGUGAACGGCGAUCUGAAGGAUCACUAGCCCACGUAGCAUCUGAAUAGGCCUGAAGCUGUAAAGAACUGGAGCGAGGAAAGAAUAGACGGUGAGAGAUCGUGCCCCGAAGAUAUCGGAGAAUACGGAGGAGAUGACUAUAGUGAACCGAUGUGGGAGCAGAGACGAACUUACUCAAAAUAUGAACCGGAUAAGAGAUAUCCGGACGAGUGACAGCUAGAUAAACAAGACUGCCAACAAGAUGACGAUAACGCGUCGGGUCAGGCAGGGGAUCACCAUCAGUAGCAGAGAGGUGAACAUUGAGCUCCAUAGGAGUCUCAACAAUGCGCUCAUCAGUAAGAGCAGCACGAGCAAGAAGAUCCUGGAUAUACUUUUCCUCGGAUAUAAAGAAGCCAUCAGAGGUAGAAGAGACUUCAAUCCCAAGAAAGUAGCGAAGAGGUCCAAGAUCAGAAAUAAGGAACUGCUCACUAAGGCGGGCCUUGACAAAGGCAAUAUACUCGGGGUCAUUCCCAGUGAUGACCAUGUCAUCAACAUAGAGAAGAAGAAGAGUCCGACCACGAGGAGAAAGGUGAAUAAACAAUGCUGGAUCAUGAACACUGAGUGAAAAACCAGCGGCAGUCACCACAGAGGCAAAACGCUCAAACCAGGCGCGGGGGGCUUGCUUAAGGCCAUAGAGAGAGCGACGAAGACGACAUACCAUGCCAUCAGGAACAGAAUACCCAGGUGGUGGCUGCAUGUGCACCUCCUCACGCAGCUCACCAUUAAGAAAAACAUUCUUAACAUCAAGCUGAGAGAUAGACCAGUGGCGUGUAGAGGCCACGACAAGAAGUGUACGAACAGUGGUCAUAUGAGCCACAGGGGCAAAAGUCUCGUCAUAAUCACGACCAUGCUCCUGCUNNNNNNNNNNNUCUCGUCAUAACCACGACCAUGCUCCUGCUGAAAACCACGAGCCACAAGACGAGCUUUGUGACGCUCAAGAGAACCAUCGGAGCGAGUCUUAACCUUGUAGACCCAUUUACAAGUGAUGGGACGGACUCCGGGAGGAAGGGAAACAAGAUCCCACGUACCAGUGCGUUCAAGAGCAGCAAUCUCCUCUGCCAUGGCGAACUGCCAUUCAGGAUGAACAACAGCCUGAUGAUAAGUAGUCGGCUCAAGAACAGCAGCACCAGCGGUGGAAAAUCCAAAACGAUCAACAGGCGGACGAGAACGAGAACGCAAGCCAUAAGUAGGCUGAGAUGAGGAUGACGAUACAUCCACAGAGGCAUCCACAGAACAUGAAUGACGAGUGUAACACUGAGGAAAAGAUGGAACAAUGGAAGGAGGAAUCGCCAAUGUAGAAUCGGGGAGUGGCGACGAAGAAGUCACCGGAGAUGAAGGUGUAGAAUCCGGUGACAUGCUAGACGAGGAGACCGUGGAAGAUGGUGGUGACAAAUCGACUGGAGGUGGAGAAGCAGAGGGAGCGGAAUGAAUAGGCAAAGGCUCGACGGGUGUGAUAGGUGUGUCAGGAAAAAUGAGGAAAGAGAUAUCCUCCACUGAAAAAGUCGAGGAAGAUGGGCGUGGGUAGAAGGGACGAGACUCAUCGAAAGUCACAUCCCGAGAGAUACGCAUCCGACGACCGAUAGGAUCCCAACAACGAUAGCCCUUAUGCUCAUCACUAUAACCUAAGAAGACACACUCAAUAGACUGAGCGGUCAGUUUGGUGCGUUCGCGGGGGGCAAGAAGAACAUAGCAAACACAACCAAACAAGCGAAGCAUCGAAUAAUCAGGAGAACGAUCAAAAAGACGCUCGACAGGAACACCACCCUGUAGAGCAGCGGAAGGCUGGAAAUUGAUGAGAUAGGUGGAGGUGGAGACGGCCUUAGCCCAAAAAUGAGGCGGGAGAGAGGUAGCAAUCAUCAAUGCACGAGCUAUCUCAAGAAGAUGACGAUGCUUGCGCUCAGCCACGCCAUUCUGAGCGUGAGCACUAGGACAAGAGAAUUGAGAGAGAGUCCUUGCUCAGCAAGAACACCACGCAACAUCUUAGAGAUAUACUCGCCAGCGGAGUCAGCACGGAACACACGAAUGGGAGAAGAGAACUGAGUAUGAACCAUGGCAGCAAAACACUUAUAAAUGGACAACACCUCACUCCGAGAAGUCAUGAAAUAAAGCCAUGUCUAACGAGAGAAGUCAUCUAUGAAAUAAUAUAGUAUUUAUGACCCCCUUUCGAAGCGAAGGGAGCCGGACCCCACACGUCGGGAACUAAAUCAAAAGGACGCUUAUACACUGACUCACUAUGUGGAUAUGAUAACUGAAUCUGCUUGUCAAGACGACAACCCUGACACUCUAAAGAGGCAUCUCCUAAGACAGACCCCAGAAGAUCUCGACGAACUAACGACGACAAACGAGAACCACACAGAUGACCAAGUCGAUGAUGCCACUGCUGGAAGGAACUAGUAGCUGAGGCGACCGAAGCGGAGGAACUGGCGAUAGUGGUGGCAGCGGAAGGAACAUGAAGCCAGUCCAACUCCCAAAGACCCUCAGAAUCACGGCGGCGAGGACCAGCCCCAACCAGAGUGUGCGUGCGACGGUCCUGGACAGAACAAGAGUCAAGGUCAAGGAUGACACGACAACCAGAAUCAGCAAGUUGACCAACGGAAAACAGAUUCAUGGUAAGUCGAGGAACAUGAGCAACAUCCGGAACAAAAUAAGGAGUGGUAAGAGUGCCUCUACUAACGACAGGAAGGGGAGUACCAUCAGCGGUGAGGACAUGAACAGGAGAAUCAAGCGAUCGAAGGGAGGACAGAGUGGAAGAAUUAGAAGUUAUAUGAAAGGAAGCUCCAGAGUCCAGAACCCAUGGGGAUCUACCUGACUGUGAAGAAGGUGGUUGCUCAGUGCGGGAAGCCUCAGUCACAGAACCAACAGUACCCGUCGAGGAAGAACCUGAAGCGGCGAGCAGACGCUUAAGUCUCAGAAUGUCCUGCUCAGUCAAAGCGAUGGCUGAAGCUGUCGAGGUAGAUGACGAAGUCGCUGUAGAUGAUGAUCGCGCCUUGCGCAAAUGUUUUUUCUUUGUGUAGCAGUGGGACUCAAUAUGACCAUCAUUGUUGCAGUAGUCACAAUGUGGACGGGGGCGACCUGAGCCUCUAGAAGGAGUGGGCAAGAGCGGCGGAGCACUCGAGCGAGAAGGGGUCGGUGCAGCAGGUGGCGGAGAAAAAGUCCGAGUAGCGAGCACCGAGGGAACCUCCAGCAAACCAGCACCACGUAAGCGAGUCUCCUCAGCACGAAUCUCAGAAAGCGCCUCCAUGAGAGAAAUACGGCCACGAGCAAACAACUGAGCACGCCGGGGCUCAAACUCCUUACGGAGCCGAGACAGGAACUCGUAGACGCGAUGAAACUCCAAGUCGGCCUGGACAACCUGGCAACAGGGGCAAGUACGACAACCAGCACUGCGGAGAGAAUCAAGCUGGCGCCAGAUAGCAGAACUCUGUGCAUAGAAGUCAUCAACAGUAGAGUCACCCUGCUGAAGAGCAUGCUCCUGACGGACCAUAGAGAGGUAUAAGGCAUCACCAGAGGGCUCAUAGCGCUGACGAAGGCGAGUCCACAUCUCAAACACAGUAGGAAGUCCUAGAAACUCAGAGGCAAACUGAGGCAGAACACUGGCAGUGAGAAUAGCUGCAGCACGGGCAUCAUCAUCAAGCCACUGGGUGUAAACAGACAGAGCACCAUGAUACACCUGAAGAGCCUCCUCAUAAGUCAAAACCUUCUCAUCAUAAGCGCGAAUAGCAGCCUCAUCAGCAACCUUAGUUGCAUCCUUCGCAGCCUGAGAAGCAUCCGCGGGAAGAACCGGUGGAGUCGGUGGAGUGGGAGCUACAGGAGGAACCGGACGUGGCGGACAACAGACCUCGCCAGAGAGAACUCCCCAGAGACGGAUGCCACGCAUGUGAAUGCGCAUGAAGCCAGUGAACUCGGUGUAGUUAGUACCAUCGAAGAUCACCGAACGACGAGGGAGAGCAACAUAGCCAGAUGCAGUAGACAUUCUUUUUUCUUUUUUCUUUUUUUUAGGACAGGAAAUUAGUCAACGGGAUGAGAAACCACGUGGACAGCAGAGAGAACGAGCCGAUCGUUCUCGAGGGCAGAAACCACGUCGGCUGGGUCGGAACCGCGAGAUCCCGGUCCAGGCGGUUGGAGCGAUCCCGAGCGAUUCCGUAGGCGGUACCUGGUCCAGGCGGUGGGAGCGAUCCCGUAGGCGGUUGGUGGGGAGGCUGGUCCCUCGAUACAGCCAGGCACGGCCCCUGUCCCGCGAUGCGCCGGGGCAGAUCGAGACUGGAUCGUACAGCGGCACAACCCUUGUCCCGCGAUGCGCCGGGGCAAAUCGAGGAGACUGGAUCGGGGCGGGCGGGAACGGCAGGGACUCGCGCGAGCGACUGUGCGGCGGGAGGACUUGGCGACGAGAUCCAGCGAGACCGAGGCAGCCACGGGAGAAGAAACUGCGCCGGCUAGAAGAUUGGAUCUGGAAGAGCACGAGUUGCGCGUGCGAAAAAGAACCUAAGCUCUAAUACCAUGUUAGGAAAGCAACUUGUAUUCCCAUGAGGCCAUAGGCCGGUAUAUAUACAUGUACAGGUGAUGGACUAUAUGC
rnacentral:lncRNA from 1 species